GUCGAACGAAGUAGCAAUACUUAGUGGCAGACGGGUGAGUAACAUGUAGGUAUCUGCCCUUUGGCCUGGAAUAACACGAGGAAACUUGUGCUAAUACCGGAUAAGUCUUUACGGAGAAAGCUUUAUGCACCAUUGGAUGAGCCUGCACUUGAUUAGUUUGUUGGUGGGGUAAUGGCCCACCAAGACUGUGAUCAAUAGCUGAUUUGAGAGGAUGAUCAGCCACAUUGGGACUGAGACACGGCCCAAACUCCUACGGGAGGCAGCAGUGGGGAAUCUUGCACAAUGGAGGAAACUCUGAUGCAGCGAUGCCGCGUGAGUGAAGAAGGCCCUUGGGUUGUAAAGCUCUUUCGUCGGGGAAGAAAAUGACUGUACCCGAAUAAGAAGGUCCGGCUAACUUCGUGCCAGCAGCCGCGGUAAUACGAAGGGACCUAGCGUAGUUCGGAAUUACUGGGCUUAAAGAGUUCGUAGGUGGUUGAAAUAGUUGGUGGUGAAAUCCCAGAGCUUAACUCUGGAACUGCCAUCAAAACUUUUCAGCUAGAGUAUGAUAGAGGAAAGCAGAAUUUCUAGUGUAGAGGUGAAAUUCGUAGAUAUUAGAAAGAAUACCAAUUGCGAAGGCAGCUUUCUGGAUCAUUACUGACACUGAGGAACGAAAGCAUGGGUAGCGAAGAGGAUUAGAUACCCUCGUAGUCCAUGCCGUAAACGAUGUGUGUUAGACGUUGGAAAUUUAUUUUCAGUGUCGCAGGGAAACCGAUAAACACACCGCCUGGGGAGUACGACCGCAAGGUUAAAACUCAAAUGAAUUGACGGGGACCCGCACAAGUAGUGGAGCAUGUGGUUUAAUUCGAAGAUACGCGCAGAACCUUACCAACACUUGACAUGUUCGUCGCGACUCUAAGAGAUUAGAGUUUUCGGUUCGGCCGGACGAAACACAGGUGCUGCAUGGCUGUCGUCAGCUCGUGUCGUGAGAUGUUGGGUUAAGUCCCGCAACGAGCGCAACCCUCACUUUUAGUUGCCAUCAUUAAGUUGGGCACUCUGAAAGAACUGCCAGU
rnacentral:rRNA from 1 species